rnacentral:lncRNA from 1 species
AUCUCUUUCCCUGAACAAAUGUCUUCUUGUUGCAGCGACGAUGCUAUUGCUUCUUCUUCUUCAUCUUCUUCACGAUUCUUCUCUUCUUCUUCUUUAUCGUUUUCACAUGGCUGCUUCUAGUGCCAAAAACAUUGGAGAAAGAUACUAGAGCUCCCAAGGAAGAUUCUUCGAAUGUUCUUUUUUCAUCAAUUCAAUCUUGCCGUCGAGAGAAUUAUGGUCUUCGAGGGUUAGGGUUUUCAAUUCUUAUGAAGACGAGCCGAAAUCAAUCUGUUGAAUUCGAUGAUUUUCUCGGAUGAAUGAAGGUUGUGAUGCUUCCGUCGAUCUUUGGUCGAUUUAUCUUGAGAUUCUUAGCAUAGCAUUCGUUCUAAACAAUGGAUCAUGAUACUCGCAGCAAUAAGCUUCAGAAAUUCUUUGUCGCCAUGGAAACGGCCUUUUAGGGAACAGAUGAAAUUAUCAAUUGCGCCUUGGAGGGUUUGAAGAAAUAAGUCAGGAAAGAACUAUGAUCAGGGCUUUCCCACCUUCUACCGAGGAUGUCGAGACGCCCAGCAGAUUGUCGACAAGAUACAACUGCUUAGAAUCUGCUUGAUGUCUACUUGUUGUUUCAUGAUGAUGGUUAUUUGUUGCUUGCACAGAAGGACCUACUGAAAAUCAACUCUUUUGAAGCUGUUGCACACUCAUUAGAAACCUGAUGCAUCAAAGUCAAAUGACCAUAUUCUGGCAGGAGCAGAUGAGUUCUUGCCUCUCCUCAUGUAUGCUACAAUCAUGACAAAUCCUGCGCACCUUGCAUUCUUUUCUCAAGUUCAUCCAUCCAAUUAUACUGAAGGAAGGCAAAAAUUGUCCCUGAGGAUAAACCUUGUCUCGGACAAGUCAUUUAAGAAGUUGUGCAGCACCGAGUAAGAAGGUAGAAUCCGGUUCAUCUACCAAUCGGUAUCUUUGAGCUUCUUGAUUGCUCAUAACAGAUCUGGAGUACCCCCAUAAUAUGGAGGCAGACGCCAGUGACCUGGUUCUGAAUGUGGAAGAUGCUUAGAGAUUGCUGACUAUACAAGGAAAUGCUGGUGAGGCUUAUGAAUGAGGAGCAAGUAAAAAAGAAGAAGGAAAGGAGAUUUUUCUGAAUCAAGAACGUUAUGGACUAAGGCUAUACAUUAAGGAACUCAAAGAUUAUUGCGUGAGAAUCAAGAACGUACCUCUCUAUAAGCGCAUAUGAGACACCAAAAGGACUGAAUUUUGAGAUUAAGAAACAAGUCUUGAAUGUUGAGGAGAUGUUAUUUAUAUAAAAUGAAAACAAGAAUGUAGUUGCAGAACGGCAAUGGCGUUUAUGUUUUGCUUCUCUCUCUCAAUCUGACUGUCUUGUCAUGCAAUGUACAUGUCCCAACUAACUAUUUCCAUAUAGUAUAGAUAUU